rnacentral:misc_RNA from 1 species
UCCGGGUUGGUCCCAGCGGUCCGGCCAGACUGCGUAACUGGCAGCGGGGGUUGCGCUCGUUGCGGGACUUAACCCAACACCUCACGGCACGAGCUGACGACAGCCGUGCAGCACCUGUGCGCGCUCCCUCGCGGGUCCCCUCGGUUUCCCUCGGGUACCACGCGCAUGUCAAGCCCGGGUAAGGUUCUUCGCGUUGCAUCGAAUUAAACCACACGCUCCGCUGCUUGUGCGGGCCCCCGUCAAUUCCUUUGAGUUCUAGCCUUGCGGCCGUACUCCCCAGGCGGGGUGCUUAUCGCGUUGGCUGCGGCACAGAGGGAUUCGACUCCCCCCACACCUAGUGUCCAUCGUUUACGGCUAGGACUAC